UACGUAGGUGGCAAGCGUUGUCCGGAAUUAUUGGGCGUAAAGCGCGCGCAGGUGAUUCCUUAAGUCUGAUGUGAAAGCCCACGGCUCAACCGUGGAGGGUCAUUGGAAACUGGGGAACUUGAGUGCAGAAGAGGAAAGUGGAAUUCCAAGUGUAGCGGUGAAAUGCGUAGAGAUUUGGAGGAACACCAGUGGCGAAGGCGACUUUCUGGUCUGUAACUGACACUGAGGCGCGAAAGCGUGGGGAGCAAACGGG
rnacentral:rRNA from 1 species